CAAAUUUCUGCCCUAUCAACUUUCGAUGGUAGAGUAGUGGUCUACCAUGGUUUCAACGGGUAACGGGGAAUUAGGGUUCUAUUCCGGAGAGGGAGCCUGAGAAACGGCUACCACAUCCAAGGAAGGCAGCAGGCGCGCAAAUUACCCAAUCCCGACACGGGGAGGUAGUGACAAUAAAUACUGAUACAGGGCUCUUUUGGGUCUUGUAAUUGGAAUGAGUACAAUUUAAAUCUCUUAACGAGGAACAAUUGGAGGGCAAGUCUGGUGCCAGCAGCCGCGGUAAUUCCAGCUCCAAUAGCGUAUAUUAAAGUUGUUGCAGUUAAAAAGCUCGUAGUUGAAUUUCAGACCUGGCCGGGUGGUCCGCUUAACGGCGUGUACUGUCUGGCUGGGCCUUACCUCUUGGUGAGCCGGCGUAUUCUUUUAUAGUGUGCGUCGGGGAACCAGGACUUUUACCUUGAGAAAAUUAGAGCGUUCAAAGCAGGCCUAUGCCCGAAUACA
rnacentral:rRNA from 1 species